CAUAGCCUAACGGCUGAACCAGCAACUUGGAGGAAUGUAUUGGAAAGCUAGUUGUAUUAACAAAUUGUUACUGCAGGAUCGACAACCUCGAAUAAAGUUCUAGGUAGAUGUAUGAUAAUGACAUUUUCUAUCUAUGUGUCUUGACCAAAUCACGUGCCAGCAGUCGCGGUAAUACGUGGGAGACUAGUGUUAUUCAUCUUUAAUAGGUUUAAAGGGUACUUAGACGAUAAAUCAAGCCCCAAAAGGGUACUAAUAUACUAGAGUUUUAUGUGAGGGGGGGAGUACUAAUGGAGUAGAGAUGAAAUUCUGUCAUACCAAGAGGAAACAGGUAAAGGCGAAAGCGACCUUUUAUGUAUAAACUGACGUUGAAGGACGAAGGCUCCGGUAAUGAACAGGAUUAGAUACCCCAGUAGUCUGAGCAGACAAUGAUGAAUGUCAUAGAUUAGAUUUAAUUUUUUCUAUAAAUGAAAGUGUAAGCAUUCCACCUCAAGAGUAAUUUGGCAACAUAUAAACUGAAAUCAUUAGACCGUUUCUGAAACCAGUAGUGAAGUAUGUUGUUUAAUUUGAUGAUCCGCAAAAAACCUUACCACAAUUUGUAUUUAAUGUAUAAACUAAGUAUUGUUUUUAACUAAACAAUAAAAAAAAGAAGGGUUAGUUAAUAACAAUUCUUAGGAGAGUUUAUUUCUCUUUUAUUGACACAAGCGCUGCACGGCUGUCUUCAGUUAAUGUCGUGAGACUUUGGUUAGUUCCAUUAAAUUAACGUAAACCCUUACUUUUUUUAUUAUAAAGUUGUUCUCCGCUAUAUUGGAUAAGAUAAAAGGGACUAAGACAAGUCAUCAUGGCCUGAAUAUUGUGGGCUAUAGACGUGCCACAUACGCCUUACAAAGGGAUGCGAAAUUGUGAAAU
rnacentral:rRNA from 1 species